rnacentral:rRNA from 1 species
AUUGAACGCUAGCGGGAUGCCUUACACAUGCAAGUCGAACGGAGUGGCGAACGGGUGAGUAAUGUAUCGGAACGUGCCCAGUAGCGGGGGAUAACUACGCGAAAGCGUAGCUAAUACCGCAUACUAUUGGAGCGGCCGAUAGCGGAUUAGCUAGUUGGUGGGGUAACGGCUCACGAAGGCGACGAUCCGUAGCUGGUUUGAGAGUACGACCAGACACACUGGAACUGAGAAACGGCACAGACGCCUACGGGAGGCAACAGGGGGGAAGUUUGGACAAUGGGGGAAAGCCUGAUCCAGCCAUCCCGCGUGUGUGAUGAAGGCCUGCGGGUGGUAAAGAACUUUUGGCAGGAAAGCGGUAUCUAACCAGAAAGCCACGGCUAACUACGUGCCAGCAGCCGCGGUAAUAC